rnacentral:rRNA from 1 species
GAUGAACGCUGGCGGCGUGCCUAAUACAUGCAAGUCGAGCGAACAGACGAGGAGCUUGCUCCUCUGACGUUAGCGGCGGACGGGUGAGUAACACGUGGAUAACCUACCUAUAAGACUGGGAUAACUUCGGGAAACCGGAGCUAAUACCGGAUAAUAUAUUGAACCGCAUGGUUCAAUAGUGAAAGACGGUUUUGCUGUCACUUAUAGAUGGAUCCGCUCCGCAUUAGCUAGUUGGUAAGGUAACGGCUUACCAAGGCAACGAUGCGUAGCCGACCUGAGAGGGUGAUCGGCCACACUGGAACUGAGACACGGUCCAGACUCCUACGGGAGGCAGCAGUAGGGAAUCUUCCGCAAUGGGCGAAAGCCUGACGGAGCAACGCCGCGUGAGUGAUGAAGGUCUUCGGAUCGUAAAACUCUGUUAUUAGGGAAGAACAAAUGUGUAAGUAACUAUGCACGUGUUGACGGUACCUAAUCAGAAAGCCACGGCUAACUACGUG